GGGAAUGCGGUAUGCUACACAUGUAAGUCGAGCGAUGGAUGAAUGUAUGCUUAGCUCUUAUGAAGUUAGAGGCGGAUGGGUGAGUAACAAGUGGGUAACCUGCCCAUAAGACUGGGAUAACUCCUGGAAACCGGGGCUGGACCGGAUAACAUUUUGAACCGCAGGGUUCGAAAUUGAAGGGAGGCUUCGGCUGUCACUUAUGGAUGGACCCGCGUCCUAUAUCUAGUUGGUGAGGUAACGGCUCACCAAGGCAACGAUUGGUCUGAACCUGAAAGGGUGAUCGGCCACACUGGGACUGACACACGGCCCAAACUCCUACGGGAGGCAGGAUAGGGAAUCUUCCGCAAUGGACGAAAGUCUGACGGAGCAACGCCACGAGAGUGAUGAAGGCUUUCGGGUCGUAAAACUCUGUAGUCAAAGAACAAGUGCUAGUUGAAUAAGCUGGCACCUUGACGGUACCUAACCAGAAAGCCACGGCUAAAUACAUGCCAUCUCCCGCGGUAAUACGUAUGUGGCAAGCGUUAUCCGGAAUUAUUGGGCGUAAAGCGCGCGCAAGUGGUUUCUUAAGUCUGAUGUGAAAGCCCACGGCUCAACCGUGGAGGGUCAUUGGAAACUGGGAGACUUGAGUGCAGAAAAGGAAAGUGGAAUUCCAUGUGUAGCGGUGAAAUGCGUAGAGAUAUGGAGGAACACCAGUGGCGAAGGCGACUUUCUGGUCUGUAACUGACACUGAGCGCGAAAGCGUGCGGAGCAAACAGGAUUAGAUACCCUGGUAGUCCACGCCGUAACAUGAGUGCUAAGUGUUAGAGGGUUUCCGCCCUUUAGUGCUGAAGUUAACGCAUAAGCACUCCCCCCGGGAGUCCGCCUGGGGAGUACCGCCCCAAGGGUGAAAAUUAAAGGAAAUGAAAGGGGCCCGCACCAACGGUGGAGCGUGUGGUUUAAUUAGCAGCAACGCGAAGAACCUUAACCGGUCUUGACAUCCUCUGACAACCCCAUAGAUAGGGGUUUUCCUUAGGGAAGAAAGUGACAGGUGGUUCCUGGUUGUUCUCAGCUGUUGUCAUGAGGUGUUGGGUUAAGUCCCGCAAAGAGCGCCACCCAUGAUUUCCGUUGUCAUUAGUUAUUUUGGCAAUAUAAGGUGACUGCCGGACACAAACCGGAGGAAGGUGGGGACGACGUCAAAUCCCCAUGCCCUCUAUGACCUGGGCUACACACCAAUACAAUGGACGGUACAAGCAAAUGCAAGACCACGAGGAAAUGUCAAUCUCAUAAAACCGUUUUCAGUUGCGGUUGUCGGCUGCAACUUGCCUACUUGAAGUCGGAAUCGAUCGUAAUUCAGGAUCAGCAUGCCGCGGUGAAUACGUUCCCGGGCCCAGUACAAAACAUCCCGUCACCCCAAAUAGGAUUUGCCACACCGUCAUAAUUGUGGCGUAACCUUUUGGAGCCUGCCGCGUUAGGGUGGGACAGAGGAUCGGGGCGAAGUCGAAUCGAGAUACA
rnacentral:rRNA from 1 species